rnacentral:ribozyme from 1 species
UUUUUUUUUUUUUUUUUUUUUUUUUUCUGUGCACACUCAUGUCCAACACUGUGCUGCAAGUUUGCAAACAAUCGCAGAGG